GAUGAAGAACGUAGCGAAAUGCGAUAAGUAAUGUGAAUUGCAGAAUUCAGUGAAUCAUCGAAUCUUUGAACGCACAUUGCGCCCGCUGGUAUUCCGGCGGGCAUGCCUGUUCGAGCGUCAUUUCAACCCUCAAGCCCCCGGGUUUGGUGUUGGGGAUCGGCUCUGCCCUUCUGGGCGGUGCCGCCCCCGAAAUACAUUGGCGGUCUCGCUGCAGCCUCCAUUGCGUAGUAGCUAACACCUCGCAACUGGAACGCGGCGCGGCCAUGCCGUAAAACCCCAACUUCUGAAUGUUGACCUCGGAUCAGGUAGGAAUACCCGCUGAACUUAAGCAUAUCAAUAAGCGGAGAA
rnacentral:misc_RNA from 1 species